rnacentral:lncRNA from 1 species
CCCAUCCCCACCCCGGGGCUGCGCAGGGACCCCCAGAGCAGCCCCCGGCUCCGGUGUGUCCGCAGCCCUGCGGGGGGACACGGGGAGCUCUGUCCGAGGGGUCCUGGUCCCGGCCGGGGGCUGCUUUGGGGUUGGGGGGGGGUCCUGGGCAGCUCCCCGGGUGUCACCGGCACUGCGGCACAAAUACGCCCUGCUCAGCCUCAAAACGGGCUCCUCGUUGUGCGUGGCAGCGCCGUCCUCGUCCCCGUCCCUGUCCCCUUUGCAGCCUCGGUCCCUGUCCCCAUCCCUGUCCCCGUCGCCAUCAUCAGUCUGUCCCCAUCCCCGUCUCCAUCCCAAAACCCAUCCAAAUCCCGGUCCCUGUCCCCAGCCCGGAUCCCAUCUCCGUCCCCCGCCAUAUCCUUAUCUCCGUCCCUAUCCACUUCUCAUUCCCUAUCCCCUUCCCCAUCUCCGUCCCCAUCCCCAUCGCCAUCCCCAUCCCCAUCCCCAUCCAUUUCUCCUUCUGCAUCCCCAUUCUUGUCCCCAUCCCUUUAUCCAUCUCUGUCCCCAUCUCCGUCCCCAUCCCCAUCCCUUUAUCCAUCUUUAUCCCCAUUCCUAUCCCCAUCCCCUUCUCCAUCCCCAUCCCUUUAUCCAUCUCUAUCCCCAUUCCUGUCCCCAUUCCCCUUCCCCAUCCCCAUCCCCAUCCCUUUAUCCAUCUCCGUCCCCAUUCCCGUCCUCGUUCCCCGUCCCCAUCCCCGUCCCAAUCCCUUUACCCGUCUCCAUCCCCAUCCCUGUCCCCAUCCCCUUCCCCACCCGGGCUCUCCCCAGCCACCCGCUGCCUGUGCCCAUGGAGGGGGGGCAGCGGCCGCACAGAUUGGGGCGCCCACCCUCACCGCACCCCACAACGGGGCAGGCGUUGGUGGGAGCCACUGGGGACCACGGCAGCCCCCAGCCCCUUCGGUCCCCGUCCCCUGCGGGGCGGUGGCAGCGGCCGGGCACCAUCUUGGUGGUGUGGCCGCGAGCGUCCCUGGGUGACGCCCGCGGCGUUUUGGGCUUGG